UACGCAGGGUGCAAGCGUUAAUCGGAAUUACUGGGCGUAAAGCGUGCGCAGGCGGUGAUGUAAGACAGGUGUGAAAUCCCCGGGCUUAACCUGGGAACUGCAUUUGUGACUGCAUCGCUGGAGUGCGGCAGAGGGGGAUGGAAUUCCGCGUGUAGCAGUGAAAUGCGUAGAUAUGCGGAGGAACACCGAUGGCGAAGGCAAUCCCCUGGGCCUUACCUGACGCUGAGGAGCGAAAGCGUGGGGAGCAAACAGG
rnacentral:rRNA from 1 species